ensembl:lncRNA
CCCUGGUCCAGAUUUCCAACGCCCUUGCUAAGUUUUCUUCGAGUGAGGACUUGAACAUUAUCGUCAAACUUUUUUAUUCUUUUUAUUUGUAUAAAUGAUUUGUACAAAUCUUUUUAUUUGUAUAAAUGCAUUUUCAAUUUUUUAUUUUGAAAAAAAUCUUUAUUUUGGAAAGUGAAAUGUGAUCCUCUCUCUAAAGUUAGAGAGAGGAUCACAUUUGGUGUUAAUAAUUUCAUUUGUUUAGAAGCAAUAUUAGUCCCGCCUUCCACCCAUGGGAUCACACCAGCACGCAUUAGCUAGGUCCAUUGACUGUUUUCUACAGUCAUUGGCUAGGUCUUUCACUUUGAAAGCAAAUGAGACAGGCUGCAGAUGGUGGUGCGGAAUUAUCGAUUGAUUUGCGAGCUGUCUGGAAGAAAGACUGGCUCAACUUCAUUUAGCCACAUCACCUGAGCAGGAGUCACCUGAGUCAGACCUGAACCAUCAAAGUGUGAGUGACAGGGUGUCUUUAAGCACCUUUGAAUCAAAUGUGAAAGGCAUGGGAAAGCAGACUCAAGGUCAUCAAAGGCCCAAAGGACCGUCCUGUAAACUGGCAAUAAACCAGAAUACCAAUAUAAAGAUUUUUCUUUCUAUUAACAGUGGCCAAGUAAGUUAGAAAACACAGUGGAUCAAAAAUUAAAAAGUGUGCCACUGCACAGUGUCUCCCCGCUCAGCAGAAAAGAGCCAGCCCCAUCCCUCAGCCCAGCCACACAUCCACCAUAGCAGCAGUCUGGAAGAAUCACACCCAUCAUAUUCACAUCGAGGUGAUAGUUACAUGUUUGCUCACUGGGUUUUCUCAUGUCUGCAGACACAAAGAACACAAAUAAUUUUGGGAACAACAUCCAGCACCAGGGGAAGCGGACAGGAGGGAGCCCCAGUGGAAGAUCUGGAAGAAUAUUGUAACUCAGUUACUAACUCAGUUACUUUUUUGAAGAAGUAACUAGUAACUGUAAUUAAUUACUUUUUCAAAGUAACUUGCCCAACACUGUUGCAGACAGACUGUCACUCUUCAGCCUUUAAAAAUCAAAGGCUUAUUUGACCAUCAAAGGUUUUGCUUAAUGGUCUUGCUAACAAACUGUAUUUGUGCUCCUGUCUCCCUCAAAGAUCUCCAGCAAAAUAAAGCCCCCCCCUCCUGCUGGGUGAGUCUAGAAGUGAACCAAUAGAAGUGUACCUUUUUUUUUCAUACCUGUAUCUGUCUGUCACAGAUGUGGGGAAAAAAGGGAAAACUCUAUUUUUUCCAAAAUGGGAAUCAUGAAGGGAAAGACAGCUGAAAUUAAACACGAAGACAUUUAUUAAUGGACAUUUAUUAACGUCCCCGGUUGACCUGGGGACGUCAACCGGCGCCCUCUCCGGUGGAAGAUCCGGAUAUGUGUGGGAUGAGGAGCAGCUGGCGCAGGGCAUUGCGCCUGUAAGCAAUUCUUAACCCCCCCCCCACCCCAGCACAAAAGAGCCAGCCCCAUCCCUCACCCCAGCCCAGCCCCAACCCACAGCACAACUGAUCAGGUAAGCUGACUUCUCACCUGAUCAGUUGUGUUGUCUCUUGUCCCCGGGUUGGCACAGAGCCAGCCCCAUCCCUCACCCCACCCCAGUCCAAACAAACUUUAGAUAAUCUCUCACAUGGAUUUUCAUUUCUGCCCCCCACCAUCCCACCUGGCGGGGGGGAGUGGGGGGAAUCCCUCACCCCACCCCAGUCCAAACAAACUUUAGAUAAUCUCUCACAUGGAUUUUCAUUUCUGCUCCCCACCAUCUCACCUGGCGGGGGGAGUGGGGGGCAUCCCUCAACCCGGCCCAGCCCAACUCCACAUCGACAGCCCAAGAGGACAAAGGAAAGGAAGGCAGCAGGUCCAGAUAGAAUCUGCUGCUGGACUGUGCAGAACAGCUUUGUCAGGUAAGAAGUCCAGAACGAAGGCUGCCAACAUCCAGAGACUGGUGACUCCUCGUGCGCUGCAGCACUCAAGAGACAGCACACCCAGAAGAACAAGGAGGAGGCCUCAGAGUACGCCAAGCUGCUGGCCAAGAGGAUGAAGACAGGAGGCCAAGGAGAAGUGCCAGGAACAGAUCGCCAAGAGGCGCCGCCUUCAUUCUAUGAGGGCGUCCACAUCCAAGUCAGAGUCCAGCCAGAAGUGAAACAGAAUCAAAUAAAGUCAUGUUUUGCUGAAA